rnacentral:rRNA from 1 species
UACGUAGGGGGCAAGCGUUGUCCGGAAUCAUUGGGCGUAAAGCGUGUGUAGGCGGCUCGUUUAGUCCGCUCUGAAAGUCCGGGGCUCAACCCCGGGAGGCGGGUGGAUACUGUCGAGCUAGAGUCCGGAAGGGGCGAGUGGAAUUCCUGGUGUAGCGGUGAAAUGCGCAGAUAUCAGGAGGAACACCAAUGGCGAAGGCAGCUCGCUGGGACGGUACUGACGCUGAGACGCGAAAGCGUGGGGAGCAAACAGG